GGGCUGAUUAUUGAUAUUACGUAAUGUAUGACACCUAUAUCACAGUGUGUAAUGAACGAGGACAGUAAGGUGAACAAGGUCAAUAUGAGGGUAUGCCUUAGAAAAAGCAUGAAAUGGCAUUCCAUUGCAUACAUAGCACUUGUGAUAUCUCUCUGAAAGAAAUAUAUGUGUGAUAACUCUAUGAUAGACAUAGGCUUGUGAUUACU
rnacentral:lncRNA from 1 species